rnacentral:rRNA from 1 species
AAUGGGUCAGCGACUUAUAUUCUGUAGCAAGGUUAACCGAAUAGGGGAGCCGAAGGGAAACCGAGUCUUAACUGGGCGUUAAGUUGCAGGGUAUAGACCCGAAACCCGGUGAUCUAGCCAUGGGCAGGUUGAAGGUUGGGUAACACUAACUGGAGGACCGAACCGACUAAUGUUGAAAAAUUAGCGGAUGACUUGUGGCUGGGGGUGAAAGGCCAAUCAAACCGGGAGAUAGCUGGUUCUCCCCGAAAGCUAUUUAGGUAGCGCCUCGUGAAUUCAUCUCCGGGGGUAGAGCACUGUUUCGGCAAGGGGGUCAUCCCGACUUACCAACCCGAUGCAAACUGCGAAUACCGGAGAAUGUUAUCACGGGAGACACACGGCGGGUGCUAACGUCCGUCGUGAAGAGGGAAACAACCCAGACCGCCAGCUAAGGUCCCAAAGUCAUGGUUAAGUGGGAAACGAUGUGGGAAGGCCCAGACAGCCAGGAUGUUGGCUUAGAAGCAGCCAUCAUUUAAAGAAAGCGUAAUAGCUCACUGGUCGAGUCGGCCUGCGCGGAAGAUGUAACGGGGCUAAACCAUGCACCGAAGCUGCGGCAGCGACACUGUGUGUUGUUGGGUAGGGGAGCGUUCUGUAAGCCUGUGAAGGUGUACUGUGAGGUAUGCUGGAGGUAUCAGAAGUGCGAAUGCUGACAUAAGUAACGAUAAAGCGGGUGAAAAGCCCGCUCGCCGGAAGACCAAGGGUUCCUGUCCAACGUUAAUCGGGGCAGGGUGAGUCGACCCCUAAGGCGAGGCCGAAAGGCGUAGUCGAUGGGAAA